rnacentral:rRNA from 1 species
UACGUAGGAUGCAAGCGUUGUUCGGAAUUACUGGGCGUAAAGAGUACGUAGGCGGUUUGAUAAGUCUGCUAUUAAAGACUGGAGCUUAACUCCAGGACUGUAGUGGAAACUGUCAGACUAGAGGACAAUAGAGGAAGUCGGAAUUCUCAGUGUAGCGGUGAAAUGCGUAGAUAUCUGGAGGAACACCGGUGGCGAAGGCGGCAUCCUGGACCGGCAUUGACGCUGAGGCGCGAAAGCCAGGGGAGCAAACGGG